CAAUGAUUUCUCAAUUUCUCAAUCAAUUGAACGGUGUUAUUCAUUAGAACGGUGUAUUUCUCAAUUUCUCCCUAUCUCUACUGAGCUUCCGUCGUUUGAUUUGAAUCAAAGGUAAGCUUUUCAACUAUUUUAGAUUAUGAACCAAAAACCAUCACUCUAAUCUUCUCCAACCUCAUCUCAAUCAAAGUAUACUCCGCUGGAGAAGUUUGGGCUAUCAUACAAAAAGCUUUUAGAUCUCUUCCUUUUCUGAUUCGUGUUUCCUCCAGCUCUAAUCGGUUUUGAAACAGGGAAGUAGGAUACAAGCUUCUGUAAAAGAGAAAUUAUUGAGCCGUCUCUCUUGAAAUUUCCAGCAUUGGACGAAUAUAAAACAAUAACCUCAAAUCUCUCUGGAUGGCAAAAACAUUGAAGGUGACGGUUUAGCGUCAGCCUUCGUGGUGCCUGUGUGAGGGAGUUCACCAAUAUGACGUUAACUUCCCAUGUGACGGAUCUUUACCCGCUAAGUUUGGUCCACCUAAACGCCGGUAUGAUAUCAUCAAAUCUUUGGCUAUGCUUUGGUGAAUUUAGAAGACGAGAGUUUGGAGAAUGAAGUUUGGAAUAUAAUUUCGUAUAGAAACAACACAAAAAUGAAGUUUUGAAGUCUUGCAAUUCAAAAGAAAAGAAAAAAAAAACAAUCUGAAAGAUGGGUGCAUGAUGUGGAAUCAUCUUCCACGGUGAAGUGUGAAGAAUUUAAACGUGCAAUCAUCUAAUAUAUAUGUUCAAGAUCCUUUUGAGUAAGAUAUACAAUAUACAAAGGUAAAGGGCUUUUGUUUGUUCGAUCGCUCAUUUAUGUCUUACAAUACGUUUGCGUAUUUAUGUAAGACCCUUGGCAAUUUCAUAAUGCAAUGAAUGUUUCCUCAAA